CUUAAAUCUAAUAUUUCUAAUACUUUAAGAGAAAGUUACACAAUUAUAUUUUCUAGGCAGACAUUUAUGCUGAAAUAGGCGAGGUAAUUUUGGGCUUAAAAGAGCCGUAUGUGCACAAAACAACUGUUUUCAAAUCAUUAGGCAUGGCUGUUGAAGAUGUUGUUACUGCAGAACUUGUUUACCAGAUCUUACAGAAAAGGAAUUUCUGAAAUUUUUGCUUUUUUUGAAGCUAAUAAAUUCUGUGGAAUAAUAUCAUCUGUUAAUCUAUAUUA